AAUUUAAGCUUCUUAAAAGCCAAAUGUUUUGGCAGAACAAAUUGAAAAAGACAAAAACCUAGAGGUUUGCUCCUAUUCGGCCGCCACUCAACCUUCCUUCCAACACCACGAUGCCUUUAGAUCCCCUUUCGGCUUCGAUUUCAACGAAGCGAACAGAGAUCCAUGGCCGAUUCGCAAGAUAAGGUACGGACGCACUAGGUGGCGUGCACAGAGUUGGUACAGUUGUGUUGACGCGCUGGAGGUUGUACGAGGGUUGGGAGGCCAGCUGCGGUGCAUGGGGAACCUUAGGGUUCCUGAAGAUUGCUUGACCUUUGGGCCAAUCGGGCUGAUGAAAUUUUGGGUCUUGGUUUAUUUGUAAUAUGGGCUUGUUCAAUGCACUUGGGCUUUAAAGACCUGGACUAUGGCUUUUUUUUUUGGUGUUAUUAUUUGAUUUAGAUUUCUUGAUUUGGGCCCGGGCAAAAAUUGGGCCUUACAAUAAAAAAAUAUUUUUUUAAUUCAUACACAAA